rnacentral:rRNA from 1 species
UACGAAGGGUGCAAGCGUUACUCGGAAUUACUGGGCGUAAAGCGUGCGUAGGUGGUCUGUUAAGUCUGAUGUGAAAGCCCUGGGCUCAACCUGGGAAUUGCAUUGGAUACUGGCAGGCUAGAGUGCGGUAGAGGGUAGUGGAAUUCCCGGUGUAGCAGUGAAAUGCGUAGAGAUCGGGAGGAACACCAGUGGCGAAGGCGACUUCCUGGCCUGUUCUUGACGCUGAGGCGCGAAAGCUAGGGUAGCAAACGGG